rnacentral:rRNA from 1 species
CACAUGCAAGUCGAACGGAAAGGCCCUGCUUUUGAGGGGUGCUCGAGUGGCGAACGGGUGAGUAACACGUGAGUAACCUGCCCUUGACUUUGGGAUAACUUCAGGAAACUGGGGCUAAUACCGGAUAGGAGCUCCUGCUGCAUGGUGGGGGUUGGAAAGUUUCGGCGGUUGGGGAUGGACUCGCGGCUUAUCAGCUUGUUGGUGGGGUAGUGGCUUACCAAGGCUUUGACGGGUAGCCGGCCUGAGAGGGUGACCGGCCACAUUGGGACUGAGAUACGGCCCAGACUCCUACGGGAGGCAGCAGUGGGGAAUAUUGCACAAUGGGCGGAAGCCUGAUGCAGCAACGCCGCGUGCGGGAUGACGGCCUUCGGGUUGUAAACCGCUUUCGCCUGUGACGAAGCGUGAGUGACGGUAAUGGGUAAAGAAGCACCGGCUAACUACGUGCCAGCAGCCGCGGUGAUACGUAGGGUGCGAGCGUUGUCCGGAUUUAUUGGGCGUAAAGGGCUCGUAGGUGGUUGAUCGCGUCGGAAGUGUAAUCUUGGGGCUUAACCCUGAGCGUGCUUUCGAUACGGGUUGACUUGAGGAAGGUAGGGGAGAAUGGAAUUCCUGGUGGAGCGGUGGAAUGCGCAGAUAUCAGGAGGAACACCAGUGGCGAAGGCGGUUCUCUGGGCCUUUCCUGACGCUGAGGAGCGAAAGCGUGGGGAGCGAACAGGCUUAGAUACCCUGGUAGUCCACGCUGUAAACGGUGGGUACUAGGUGUGGGGUCCAUUCCACGGGUUCCGUGCCGUAGCUAACGCUUUAAGUACCCCGCCUGGGGAGUACGGCCGCAAGGCUAAAACUCAAAGGAAUUGACGGGGCCCCGCACAAGCGGCGGAGCAUGCGGAUUAAUUCGAUGCAACGCGUAGAACCUUACCUGGGUUUGACAUGGAUCGGGAGUGCUCAGAGAUGGGUGUGCCUCUUUUGGGGUCGGUUCACAGGUGGUGCAUGGCUGUCGUCAGCUCGUGUCGUGAGAUGUUGGGUUAAGUCCCGCAACGAGCGCAACCCUUGUUCACUGUUGCCAGCACGUUAUGGUGGGGACUCAGUGGAGACCGCCGGGGUCAACUCGGAGGAAGGUGGGGAUGACGUCAAGUCAUCAUGCCCCUUAUGUCCAGGGCUUCACGCAUGCUACAAUGGCUGGUACAGAGAGUGGCGAGCCUGUGAGGGUGAGCGAAUCUCGGAAAGCCGGUCUCAGUUCGGAUUGGGGUCUGCAACUCGACCUCAUGAAGUCGGAGUCGCUAGUAAUCGCAGAUCAGCAACGCUGCGGUGAAUACGUUCCCGGGGCUUGUACACACCGCCCGUCAAGUCAUGAAAGUUGGUAACACCCGAAGCCGGUGGCCUAACCGUUGUGGGGGAGCCGUCGAAGGUGGGACUGGUGAUUAGGACUAAGU